CUUUAUUGGAGAGUUUGAUCCUGGCUCAGGACGAACGCUGGCGGCAUGCCUAAUACAUGCAAGUCGAGCGGACUUGAUGAGAAGCUUGCUUCUCUGAUAGUUAGCGGCGGACGGGUGAGUAACACGUAGGCAACCUGCCCUCAAGUUUGGGACAACUACCGGAAACGGUAGCUAAUACCGAAUAGUUGUUUUC
rnacentral:rRNA from 2 species